rnacentral:rRNA from 1 species
AGAGUUUGAUCCUGGCUCAGAUUGAACGCUGGCGGCAUGCCUUACACAUGCAAGUCGAACGGCAGCACGGGUGCUUGCACCUGGUGGCGAGUGGCGAACGGGUGAGUAAUAUAUCGGAACGUACCCUAGAGUGGGGGAUAACGUAGCGAAAGUUACGCUAAUACCGCAUACGAUCUACGGAUGAAAGUGGGGGAUCGCAAGACCUCAUGCUCAUGGAGCGGCCGAUAUCUGAUUAGCUAGUUGGUGGGGUAAAAGCCUACCAAGGCGACGAUCAGUAGCUGGUCUGAGAGGACGACCAGCCACACUGGAACUGAGACACGGUCCAGACUCCUACGGGAGGCAGCAGUGGGGUAUUUUGGACAAUGGGGGCAACCCUGAUCCAGCAAUGCCGCGUGAGUGAAGAAGGCCUUCGGGUUGUAAAGCUCUUUUGUCAGGGAAGAAACGGGAUUUUCUAAUACAAAGUCCUAAUGACGGUACCUGAAGAAUAAGCACCGGCUAACUACGUGCCAGCAGCCGCGGUAAUACGUAGGGUGCAAGCGUUAAUCGGAAUUACUGGGCGUAAAGCGUGCGCAGGCGGUUGUGCAAGACAGAUGUGAAAUCCCCGGGCUCAACCUGGGAAUUGCAUUUGUGACUGCACGGCUAGAGUGUGUCAGAGGGGGGUAGAAUUCCACGUGUAGCAGUGAAAUGCGUAGAGAUGUGGAGGAAUACCGAUGGCGAAGGCAGCCCCCUGGGAUAACACUGACGCUCAUGCACGAAAGCGUGGGGAGCAAACAGGAUUAGAUACCCUGGUAGUCCACGCCCUAAACGAUGUCUACUAGUUGUCGGGUCUUAAUUGACUUGGUAACGCAGCUAACGCGUGAAGUAGACCGCCUGGGGAGUACGGUCGCAAGAUUAAAACUCAAAGGAAUUGACGGGGACCCGCACAAGCGGUGGAUGAUGUGGAUUAAUUCGAUGCAACGCGAAAAACCUUACCUACCCUUGACAUGUACGGAACUUACCAGAGAUGGUUUGGUGCUCGGAAGAGAACCGUAACACAGGUGCUGCAUGGCUGUCGUCAGCUCGUGUCGUGAGAUGUUGGGUUAAGUCCCGCAACGAGCGCAACCCUUGUCAUUAGUUGCUACGAAAGGGCACUCUAAUGAGACUGCCGGUGACAAACCGGAGGAAGGUGGGGAUGACGUCAAGUCCUCAUGGCCCUUAUGGGUAGGGCUUCACACGUCAUACGAUGGUACAUACAGAGGGCCGCCAACCCGCGAGGGGGAGCUAAUCCCAGAAAGUGUAUCGUAGUCCGGAUUGUAGUCUGCAACUCGACUACAUGAAGUUGGAAUCGCUAGUAAUCGCGGAUCAGCAUGUCGCGGUGAAUACGUUCCCGGGUCUUGUACACACCGCCCGUCACACCAUGGGAGCGGGUUUCACCAGAAGUAGGUAGCCUAACCGCAAGGAGGGCGCUUACCACGGUGGGAUUCGUGACUGGGGUGAAGUCGUAACAAGGUA